AACGAACGCUGGCGGCAGGCCUAACACAUGCAAGUCGAGCGGCAGCGGGCUGUAGCAAUACAGUGCCGGCGAGCGGCGGACGGGUGAGGAAUACAUCGGAAUCUACCUUGUCGUGGGGGAUAACGUAGGGAACUUACGCUAAUACCGCAUACGAACUACGGUUGAAAGCGGAGGACCGCAAGGCUUCGCGCGAUUGGAUGAGCCGAUGUCGGAUUAGCUAGUUGGCGGGUAAUGGCCCACCAAGGCGACGAUCCGUAGCUGGUCUGAGAGGGUGAUCAGCCACACUGGAACUGAGACACGGUCCAGACUCCUACGGGAGGCAGCAGUGGGGAAUAUUGCGCAAUGGGCGAAAGCCUGACGCAGCCACGCCGCGUGAGUGAUGAAGGCCUUCGGUUGUAAGCUCUGUCGGGAGGGACGGAAAGGAGG
rnacentral:rRNA from 1 species